rnacentral:rRNA from 1 species
UACGGAGGGUGCAAGCGUUAUCCGGAUUCACUGGGUUUAAAGGGUGCGUAGGUGGGUCUGUAAGUCAGUGGUGAAAUCUCCGUGCUUAACAUGGAAACUGCCAUUGAUACUAUAGGUCUUGAAUUUUCUGGAGGUCAGCGGAAUAUGUCAUGUAGCGGUGAAAUGCUUAGAUAUGACAUAGAACACCAAUUGCGAAGGCAGCUGGCUACAGGGAUAUUGACACUGAGGCACGAAAGCGUGGGGAGCGAACAGG